CCCCACUCAGGGUCCCACCUGGAGAGUUUCCAGUACUCUACCAGUCUCGGCUAGGGGAGGGAGAGUCAAGCAGAGGCCUACCCGUUCCAUUCCUAGCUUGGCCAGUGGCUAGCGAAUGGAAGACAAACUGCCACAAGU
rnacentral:snoRNA from 1 species